rnacentral:rRNA from 1 species
UGAGACAGGUGCUGCAUGGCUGUCGUCAGCUCGUGUUGUGAAAUGUUGGGUUAAGUCCCGCAACGAGCGCAACCCUUAUCCUUUGUUGCCAGCGGUUAGGCCGGGAACUCAAAGGAGACUGCCAGUGAUAAACUGGAGGAAGGUGGGGAUGACGUCAAGUCAUCAUGGCCCUUACGAGUAGGGCUACACACGUGCUACAAUGGCAUAUACAAAGAGAAGCGACCU